GGACGCGUGGACGUUCCACCCAUCCGUUGCUCUCCGGCUCCGCUCUCCAUUUAUUCAUUCAAAAACCCUAACCUAACACUUCUUAGUCCUUUCUCUCAGUUCUCCACACUAACAAAACAACAAUGCAAUUCUUCAAACUUCACACCUUCAAAAACGCUGCUGUCAAUUGUGAUUGCCAAUUAUUCCAGUUAAGCUUUUUUAGGUUUUUCGCCACCACUUGCCGGGCGGUGCUGUUGCCCCGCUUCGGCGGGCCUGAAGUGCUGGAACUCCGGUCCGAUGUUGAGGUCCCCCAGCUCAAGCCCAAUCAAGUCCUUGUUCGAGCUCGUGCUGUCUCUAUCAAUCCUCUUGAUACUAGAAUGCGAUCAGGUUAUGGUCGAUCCAUAUUUGAACCUCUGCUACCUCUCAUUUUGGGUCGUGAUAUUAGUGGUGAAGUUACAGCUGUUGGAACUUCAGUUCAGUCACUGAGUGUUGGGCAAGAAGUUUUUGGUGCAUUGCAUCCAACUGCUGUGAGAGGUACUUAUACUGACUAUGCAGUUCUUUCAGAAGAUGAACUUACCCCAAAGCCAAUAUCAGUUACACACGUGGAAGCAAGUGCUAUUCCUUUUGCUGCACUAACUGCAUGGCGUGCUCUAAAAAGUACGGCUAGGAUUACUGAGGGGCAACGACUGUUAGUAGUGGGUGGUGGUGGAGCGGUAGGCUUUACUGCAAUUCAGCUUGCAGUAGCUGCAGGGUGCCAUGUUACAACUACUUGUGGAAGUCAAAGCAUAGAAGGAGUACUGAAAGCUGGUGCUGAGCAGGCUGUUGACUACAUUGCUGAGGACAUUGAACUAGCAAUAAAGGGGAAGUUUGAUGCUGUUUUGGACACUAUUGGUGUACCAGAAACAGAAAGAAUUGGCAUCAAUUUUCUGAAGAGGGGUGGACACUAUAUGACCCUUCAGGGUGAGGCAGCAUCCUUGACUGAUAGGUAUGGACUAGCAGUUGGACUUCCUGUUGCUACAGCUAUUUUACUGAAGAAACAGAUUCAAUAUCGAUACUCUCAUGGAAUAGAAUAUUGGUGGACUUACAUGAGAGCUGAUCCAGAUGGUUUAGAUGAGAUCCGGCGUUUAUUUGAAGCUGGGAGGCUGAAGAUACCUGUUGAGAAAACAUUUCCCUUCACACAAGUGAGAGAGGCUCAUGAGGCAAAAGCCAAAAAGUUAAUUCCUGGUAAAGUGGUACUGGAACUUGAUUAGUAAAUUCCGCAAAUCAAAUGACUAUAUUUGUCGGGCAUAGUUCUUUUCUGAUUACUGUAAAUAUUUUCUUCUACCUAUAUCUGGAGAGUUGAUCUUACAUGGUAGACCAGCUCUGUAAAAGUAAUUUCUUCAAGCAUUUUGGUAUAGAAGGUAGAAGUCGUGGGUGGGAAUUUUCAAUAUUCAGGUGGCAAUCUGUAAAUGCUCGAGAAUUUUAUUUUAACUAAAUUUUCGCAGUUUUGUUCUGUUACUUUCCAAAAAUAUAAGUAGCAAGAAUGCUACCCAGAAUUCUUUUUCUAAAUGUCUUUUAAUUGUUGCUCAAUGUAUUCCAGUCCUAGGUGGAUUGCAUAUCCGAUGAAUGAUUCAACAGUAAGAUAUUAAAGCAUGUCUUUUUGUUUCUUUUGAUAUUUCUUCUUUUAGAAAUGAGGCCUUGUUUGGUUGAAACAUGCCUAGUUGCCUACUUACGAAUUGGAAAUUUUUGCUUGGAAGUUGUAUACUUUUAGCAUUCGGUUCAGCUUUAUGGUUUUUUUGGGAAGUGCAUUUUUGUUUGGUUCAUUUAUCAAUUUUGUAGGAAAUACAUUGGAAAGUACGUAACAGUUGUGCUAUAGGAAAGUAUCUUGAUUUCAUCUCCACUUAUUGCAGCCUCUUCUCUUUCUUGUUAUCGUAUUGAGGAUCUUCCUAAGAAGUUUUUAACUUCCUAAGCUUGUGAAAUAAACGAGGCUGGAUAUGUACAUUAGCAGUUAGCGAUCAGUAGAGAAGGCAAGAAGUAGCCUUGCUUGGGCAUUAGCCUAAAUGUGCUACACGGGGGAGAUUCUUCAUUUGAUGGUUGGGGUUUAAACUCGAGUUCCACUCAAUUUUCACAUUUUACAUUUCACAUUUAGUGCUGUCUCGCAUUUACUGCUUUUCAUGUUAUUAAAAAGUAUAGUUUA
rnacentral:misc_RNA from 1 species